rfam:Sphingobacterium paucimobilis HER1398 contig5, whole genome shotgun sequence.
AAAAAGGCCCCAUUUGGGGCCUUUAUAUAGAUCUAAAGAAUGUUAU